GCGGCAUGGUUAAGACAUGCAAGUCGAACGAAAAACGAAUCUUCGGAUUCGUGGAAAGUGGCGAACGGGUGCGUAACACGUGAGCAACCUGCCCUUGAGUGCGGAAUAGCCUGCCGAAAGGUGGAUUAAUGCCGCAUGUGGCUUCUCAUCGCAUGAUGAGACAGCUAAAGCUUGAAAUGGCGCUCAAGGAUGGGCUCGCGGCCUAUCAGCUUGUUGGUGAGGUAACGGCUCACCAAGGCUAAGACGGGUAGCUGGUCUGAGAGGAUGAUCAGCCACACCGGGACUGAGACACGGCCCGGACACCUACGGGUGGCAGCAGUUUCGAAUCAUUCACAAUGGGCGAAAGCCUGAUGGUGCAAUGCCGCGUGGAGGAUGAAGGCCCUAGGGUCGUAAACUCCUGUCAUUGGGGAGCAACAAGCAGGUUCAUAGCCUGCCCUGAGUUAACCCAAAGAGGAAGAGGUGGC
rnacentral:rRNA from 1 species